CUGGACAUGCAUGGUCUCCGCAGGCAAGGAACACAUAAAAGUAAUUCAGCGUGUUAUCAGAAACUCAUGAGCAUGAAAGAGAAAUUUGGAUCAUGUUCGAACAUGGGUAGAGAGCAGAUCGAGGAGAACUUGAAGAUUAAAGGCAAUGAAAGGUUCCGUAAAAUGGCAGCGGGUAGAGUUCUUGUUCUACACAAAGGAAGUUAACUAACCUUCUUGUAUUAUCUUUAUAUCUGCAUGAUUUUGGUAGAUUGAGUUGUGCAAUGGAUUAACUACUUUGGUUCAAGUUUUCUUCUUCCUAGGCUGGUCCAGAUUAAGAAAAGCAAAAAAAAAUAAAAAACAUAGGAGAGUAGAAGAAACCACACAGAAAAGCAUAGAGUCAGGGGGCAGCAUCAUCUCGUCCUCCAUUAGUAGUAAUUUUUCUCGGACACAAAUCUUAUUUCUCAUACGCCAUUGACAAGACAAACUUGCUUGGAGUUUUGGCUCCAGGGAGCAUAUACUCCCUGGUGAACAGUAAAUAGAAAACAAAAUCCUGAAGAUGGAUCUUGUUUUGUAAACACAAUAAAUUUUCAAAAUCCUGAAGUUUUUCCUGUAGACUUUCAUGUUAGUGUAACAAGCGUGCUUGCCAAUUAUUUCGGUCUACUCCUUGCUCUUGCUUUGGUGUCAUCACUCUACUUCUCUCCAUACAGUUUCACCCUGACAUGAAAAGCUAGUUCUUAUUAUCCAUGUCAUUUGUUUUUGUAUGCAUUGGUAACACUCAUAUGUAUAUAUGUGCUCCUCAAAUAUUUGGAUUUUGAACCACCAGACCAUUCAAAUAAAUGCAUGGACUCUUACCUAGAUAUAAAUAAAUGGCAGGGAUAGUUGCAUCAGUACAUGCUUGAGGAACACUAUGUUUGACCACGAAGAUAGGUUUGUGCCAAGUACUGAUUUGUGAUUUGUGACAAGUACUGAUUUGUCACAAGUAUAUAUACAAACUGAAGAUAGUUCCAUCAGUAUAUAUAAAAACUGAAGAUAGUCAACUAAGUGCAUAUAAGUGCAUACUGGAUUCCAUAUCAAUUAUGUACCACAGUUAUUUUAACAAGCUCUUGAUAAUUAAAAAAAAGGAACACUAUGGAGCAUGUACUCCCUCUUUUCCAAAUUACUCGCCGCGGAAAUUGAUGUAUCUAGAACUAAAAUACAUCUAGAUACAUCCAUACAUGCGACAAGUAAUUCGGAACGGAGGGAGUAUAUAGCAAAUUAUCCUCUCUGAGCCAUGUUCUUG